UGGCUCAGAUGGUAAAGCAUCUGCUUGCAAUGCAGGAGACGGGGGUUUGACCCCU
rnacentral:tRNA from 1 species